rnacentral:rRNA from 1 species
AACGAACGCUGGCGGCAGGCCUAACACAUGCAAGUCGAGCGCGCCCUUCGGGGUGAGCGGCGGACGGGUGCGUAACGCGUGGGAACGUGCCCUUCUCUGCGGAAUAGCCUCGGGAAACUGAGAGUAAUACCGCAUACGCCCUUUGGGGGAAAGAUUUAUCGGAGAAGGAUCGGCCCGCGUUGGAUUAGGUAGUUGGUGGGGUAAUGGCCCACCAAGCCGACGAUCCAUAGCUGGUUUGAGAGGAUGAUCAGCCACACUGGGACUGAGACACGGCCCAGACUCCUACGGGAGGCAGCAGUGGGGAAUCUUAGACAAUGGGGGCAACCCUGAUCUAGCCAUGCCGCGUGAGUGAUGAAGGCCUUAGGGUUGUAAAGCUCUUUCAGCUGGGAAGAUAAUGACGGUACCAGCAGAAGAAGCCCCGGCUAACUCCGUG